CUGUUGUGUGCUCUAGCUCGAGUCCCUUCAAAAGCAAAAGCUGCCUUCAUGGCUCACAGUCAUAAUAACAUGAUUACAAACAAAUAAGGAAAUGGGUGGGGCUGGAACCCAUGGCUGGCGAGUCUUAAAACUCAUGUUAUUACAGUUUUGUUGGUCAUGAUGGCAGCUUUGAGGGGACGAGCUAGAGCACACCACAAGCUGAUGGAGGAUUCAUUUGGAAAAACCUGCAUUUGGUCAGUGGGGGCCCAUGCUAACAUUCCUAUGGUGUAUAGAAAUAUACCUAGAUUCCAUCAUGAUGCUUCAAUUAAAAACUUAAUAGAUGCCAUCAAGCACAUAAAUUGAAAAAGAAAGCUAGAGUAGAAAGCUUCCUCACUAUUAAAAAACACUACAAUAUACACUGCCACAAAAAUCCUCAACAACCCAUGGUUCACAAAAGGCUUGCUCAUAUUGAUAAAAACCGUGAUAAUGAAAAGAGGUGCAGGCUAGGACUUCUUUACAAGGAAAUAAUAGUAAUAAUAAUAAUAUACAUAUACUUGUAGUAAAUAAUUAUAAGGGUCGCCCUGCCUCGGUGGGAGACGGCAGACUUGUUGAAAAAAAAAAAAAAAAAUAUGUAUAAGGUAUACAGGCCUAGCUGACAUCAGUGACAUACUACUAUAUAGAAAGCCACUUGUUAUGCUGAGCAUUUCAGGCAAAUUAGGUCAAUGUGCCAGAAUGCGACCCACACCAGUCGACUAACGCCCAAGUACCCAUUUUACUGAUUGGGAACAUAGACGACCGGUGUAAGGAAACAUGCCCAAUGUUUCUACCCUGGUUGGGAAUCGAGCCCAGACCCUCACUGUGUGAAGCGAGAGCUUUAGCCACCAGAGCCUCUCACAAGAAUAUAGUAUCCAAGCAAAAUUACUAUUCUAGUAGAUUCAACAACUCUAUAUGAUAUAAAUAAAAAUAAUCCUCUCCCUCAGCUAAUGACACUGAAUAAGCUGAGCAAUUUCUUCUCUACAGUAAGAACUAAUAUUGCAAACAAUAUACCAGAGGCCUAUACAAAAAUUGAAGGUUAUCUGAACAAUGAUUACUGAAACCUUCUACUCAGCUCCCACUGACUUAUUAAAUAAACAAUUUGAGCUAGGUCAGCAACACUUAUUAAAUAAAAGUCUGAGCUAGUAAUACAGCAACAAUUAUUAAAUAAACAAUUUGAGCUAGUAGUACCCACCAUUAUCUUAAAAAAAGCUGCACUAAGUAUUAACUCCAAUCAUUUCAUUACUUUUCAUCAAAUCACUUUAGGUUCACAUCUUUACAGACUGUCUUGAGAGCCAUGAUAACAUUCAUCCACAAAGAUGGCAGUCAAACUGGUCUUAACAAUCACAGAUCAAUAUCUAAUUGACCAAUACAUACUAUCAAAAAUAUUUGAGAAAGUGAUUCAUAUGCAGGUGUAUCCAUACUUAAUCAAUGUUCUUAUUCCUUGCCAAUUUAGAUUCAGGCUCAACAAUACCUGGUAGCACUAAUGAUGCAAUCAUAAAAAUGCUUGACACAAUUUACAUAGCACUUCACAGAAAUGAAUAUCAUAUUAGGUACUUUACUGAUCUCCAUAAGGCUUUUGAUAGAGUUGACCCCAAUAUUCCAUGGGGUGAGUGCUGAACCCCCAGGGAUCAUACAGUGUCCAGCAGAAUGGGAGGAAAUCAGGUUCGAUCCAAGAAUUCCUUCGAUCAGGAGUAUUGUAGUGGUGUGGGAGUGUUGCAGUGGUGUGGGAGUGUUGCAGUGGUGUGGGAGUGUUGCAGUGGUAUGGGAGUGUUGCAGUGGUGUGGGAGUGUUGCAGUUGUGUGGGAGUGUUGUAGUGGUGUGGGAGUGUUUCAGUGGUGUGGGAGUGUUGCAGUGGUUUAGGAAUGAGUAGUUGUAAGGAUGAGGGAGUGAGUUGGAAUGUGAGGGACAAUAAAUUAUAAGAAUGUGAGAAUCAAAAUAUAUUAAUAUCUUGCAAAUAGGUUUACCACUUUUUUGAUAAGAUGCAGUAUUUGAAAUGUUUGACUCUGGCUUAUCUGUUAAAUGUGUAUAACUUUCACAGAUAAAGCAAACAACUACAGUACAAGUUUAUUUUUUACAGUACAGUACAUGCCAAGAGCAUGUAGUACAUGCACAAUGUUUCUCCUGAAUACAAUGUUUCUCCUGAUUACAAGGUUUCUUCUGAAUACAAUGUUUCUCCUGAAUACAAUGUUAUAGUCUACCAGAGAAAUAGGAGGUACAUGACAUCCUGUAAUUCAUGUCAGGUGCAGUAGCAAUAACUCUACAAAUUUUUGUUCUCAGUACAAGCAGCUGCGAGCACACAUUUUAAAAUUAUAGCUAAAGCUAUACAUAGUAUAUAGAAUUAAAUGAUUAAACUAUUUUCUAAAGCUAAAAAACAAAACGUGUUUUCCUUUACUUCAUAUGAAACCAUCAUAAUCUCCAACUUUCAAUUCUGGUCAGUCCUGCCAUAGCCAAAAUAAAUAAUUGUACUUAUUGAGAAGUUAAAAAUUACAAAGGCCAAAACAUCAUAUAAACUAAAUAUAGAUUGUUAGCCCUUAUUACACUGUAAAAUUACAUUAUCUGAAUACAGUAUGUACUAGCAAUAGCCAUUCUUCCAGUGACAAAACAGUCUAAUUCCAUUGGCUUCCUGACUAGCCAAUGGAAUGCAUGCGUGUGUCCAUGCUCCAGUGGGAGCCAAUAAAUAUUCUCAUCUUAGAGGCAGCAGCACUGCUUGCUCUAACCCUUUCCCAAAAAAUUAAUUCUUUGAAGUUAAUUUACACAAAACUUACGUUUGGUACUGUUGCAUUCCUCAUUUUCAGUGCUUCAUCGUUUAUAUAUUUUUAAUGCUUAAAUUUUCUUGCAAAUUUUCUAAAUUUUCAUCACUGUGCACCCCUAGGGAUCUGGGGAUCCCAAUUUGGAAACUGCUGUACUAGGAUGAGAAAGUUCUCCAUAGAGAAUUUGAAUCUUCUGUAAUUCCAUUGUUGAACAUAGUCAUGAUGAGUUAAGUUGCACAAUGAUCAUAGGUGGCAACAGGACACAUGUGCAAUACUAAGGAACUUUAAUAUCUUUAGAUUUCACCCACCAGGUCACUAUCAAUCCAACAUAGAGAUCAUGAACAGAGAAUAAUAGACAGUGGAGCAGACAGGUGUGGUGGGGAGUGAGGGAACUAUGACAUAGGGCAGGUGUAGUGGGGAGUGAGGGAACUAUAACACAGGCCAGGUGUAGUGGGGAGUGAGGGAACUAUAACACAGGCCAGGUGUAGUGGGGAGUGAGGGAACUAUAACACAGGCCAGGUGUAGUGGGGAGUGAGGGAACUGUAACACAGGCCAGGUGUAGUGGGGGGGGAGGGAACUAUAACACAGGCCAGGUGUAGUGGGGAGUGAGGGAACUAUAACACAGGCCAGAUGUAGUGGGGAGUGAGGGAACUAUGACAUAGGGCAGGUGUAGUGGGGAGUGAGGGAACUAUAACACAGGUUGCUGUCACCUGACAAGUGUCCCUAUGGUUCAAGAUUAUUCUUAAUGUUGCACAUGUGUCUUAUUUAUACACUUCUCUGUGUUAAACAAUAUCUUCUCAAAUAGUGUUAACAUUGUCAAGUCUAGUACAAUUCACAUUUUGUCUAAUUUUCUAUGCUUUACUGUUAUCACAGUCAUUAUAAAUUACACUAAUAUUUUUUUAUUUUGUUCAUAAAAAUGUAUGUUUUAAGUCAACUCACUGUAAAAUAUGAAUGUUUUUUCUGAUCCUCGUAUAAAAUUAUUAUCCUUGUUAAUAAUAAUAGAUAAACAAUAAUAAUAUAGGUAGUAGGUUGGUAGACAGCAUCCGCCCAGGGAGGUACUACCGUCCUGCCAAGUAAGUGUAAAAUGAAAGCCUGUAAUUGUUUUACAUGAUGGCAGCAUUGCUGGUAUCUUUCUUCUUUCAAAUAAACAUACAAGAUUUCAUGUAUGUCUUCCUACUUCUAAUUACACUUAGAUCACACUACACAUGCAUGUACAAGCACAUUACUACACACCCCUCUGGGUUUUCUUUUAUUUUCUUACUAGUUCUUGUUCUUGUUUAUUUCCACUUAUUUCCAUGGGGAAGUGGAACAGAAUUCUUCCUCCAUAAGCCAUGUGUGUUGUAAGAGGCAAUUAAAAUGCUGGGAGCAAGGGGCUAGUAACCCCUUCUCCUGUAUAAAUUACUAAAGUUAAAAAGAGAAACUUUUGUUUUUCUUUAUGGGCCACCCCGCCUCGGUGGGAUACAGCUGGUUUGUUGAAAGAAGAAGAAAUAAUAAUAAUAUUUUUUUUAUUA